rnacentral:piRNA from 1 species
UAAGGCUUUAUUAUUUUUACCCUUCUCCUA